rnacentral:rRNA from 1 species
GACAUAGGUCGCAAACGUUAUCCGGAAUUAUUGGGCGUAAAGAGCUCGUAGGUGGUUCGGUAAGUCGGAUGUGAAAUCUCCAGGCUCAACCUGGAGGGGUCAUUCGAUACUGCCGUGACUAGAGUUCGGUAGGGGAGUGUGGAAUUCCUGGUGGAGCGGUGAAAUGCGCAGAUAUCAGGAGGAACACCCGUAGCGAAGGCGGCACUCUGGGCCGAUACUGACACUGAGGAGCGAAAGCGUGGGGAGCGAACAGG